ACCCUUGCUAAAGGGCACCACUUUUUAAAUAUAUACUUUUUUUUUUUACCCUAUUUUCUCCCCAAUUUCGUGGUAUCCAUUGUUUAGUAGCUACUAUCUUGUCUCAUUGCUACAACUCCCGUACGGGCUCAGGAGAGAUGAAGGUUGAAAGUCUUACACAACCCAACCAAGCCGCACUGCUUCUUAACACAGCGUGCAUCCAACCCGGAAGCACCAAUGUGUCAGAGGAAACACCGUGCACCUGCCAGCCUUGGUUAGCGUGCACUGCACCCGGCCCUCCACAGGAGUCGCUGGUGCGUGAUGAGACAAGUAUAUCCCUACCAGCCAACUCAUUAUCUCCAACACCAUACUAGUGUCUGCGUAUGUGAAAAUGGCACAUUUCUAAAUGUUGUAGCAAAAAGAGUUAAACAAUAAAAUGUGGAAAACACACCAUUUUCAUUUUCAUUCAACUCUAAAACUGUACAAUAAAGUCUUCUCCCUCUUCUAGGCAUAAUGAAGGAUGAUGAGAUCCAGAAUUAUGGCGGUGACACCAUAAGCUGCUCUCUGGCUCCGGUGCAGCGUCUGGAGGCCCUGCUGGCUCAGGGGAAUGGCAACGAUGUGUCCCUCAGGGUUCAGAGUCCAGGGCCUUCAGCAGGGUCACCCAGUACAUGACUCAGAACCUGGCCAGCUCCUCUGGACACGCAGUGGAAAGGUACCAGUAUGCCCUUCAGACUGGAGAAGUGGCCCUGAGGGAACCUGUCCUGGAACCUGUCCUCCGUACUGCAGAGUGGGGAGUGGACCACCGUCAGCAUCGACCUGCUCAUGACCCUGCUGCAGCGUUUAGACCUCAUCUUGCAGCCAAUCAGCCAGCCAGCCAACCAACCAACCAACCACAUCAUGUCUGCAACCAACCAACCAGCCAACCAGCCAGCCAGCCAGCCAACCAACCAACCACAUCAUGUCGGCAACCAACCAACCAACCAGCCAACCAGCCAACCAGCCAACCAACCAACCACAUCAUGUCUGCAACCAAACAACCAGCCAGCCAGCCAGCCAACCAACCAACCACAUCAUGUCUGCAACCAACCAACCACAUCAUGUCUGCAACCAACCAACCAACCAGCCAGCCAGCCAACCAACCAACCACAUCAUGUCUGCAACCAACCAACCACAUCAUGUCUGCAACCAACCAACCACAUCAUGUCUGCAACCAACCAACCACAUCAUGUCUGCAACCAACCAACCAGCCAGCCAGCCAACCAACCAACCAACCAACCAACCAGCCAGCCUGCCAACCAACCACAUCAUGUCUGCAACCAACCAACCAACCAGCCAACCAACCAACCAGCCAGCCUGCCAACCAACCAGCCAACCAACCAUCCAACCAGCCAGCCUGCCAACCAACCAUCCAACCAGCCAGCCAGCCAGCCUGCCAACCAACCAACCAACCAACCAACCAGCCAACCAGCAUGUCUGCAAUGUAUAGAAUAAAUGGAUAGCAGACCAUACCUGUUUGAUAACAUUUUGUACAGUAUGUAUAUUCAAGAUCAAUAUGUCGUUACAAGCUUUGCUUUAGCGAUGUUUUAAAAGCUAUUUCUCUGUGCUAUUAUACCCAAGACAUUCACCUCAAAGGGUCACUCGUCUCACCCAUGUAGCAUACCUAGGCAUACAAACCAAAGUACUAGAAACCAUGUUGAAAGCGAAAUUGAUUGAAUGCAUUUAGUUCAUUUGUACAAUAAAUAACACAAAGGUUAUACAAAUCGUGAUUAGAUUCAUGGUCCUAUUGCUUUUUAAAAUUCAU
ensembl:lncRNA